GACUGGGAUAGCUCAGUCGGCAGAGCAUGAGACUCUGAAUCUCGGGGUUUGUGAGUUCGAGCCCCACAUCGGGCA